AAUCAACGCUGGCGGCGUGCCUAAUACAUGCAAGUCGAACGAUCAAACGUCGCGUCGGGCAAACUGUAAAGUGGCGCGCGGGUGAGUGACACGUACGUAAUAUCCCCCUGGGUGACGUGUAACUUAUGGAGACUUCGGCUAAUACCGCAUAAUAUAGCUGCACCUUCAUGGGACAGUUGUGAAAGAUGUAUCUGCUGAAGAGCAGCCUGCGCCAGCCUAGCUAGUUGGUAAGGUAACGGCUUACGAAGGCCACGAUCUGUAACCGGGCUGAGAGGAUGGUCGGACACACUGACACUGGGAAACGGGACAGACUCCUACGGGAGGCAGCAGUGGGGAAUCUUGGACAAUGGGGGAAAGCCUGAACUAGCAACGCCGCGUGAAGGAUGAAGUCUUUAGGGAUGUAAAGUUCGUAAAAAUAGGAAGAUUAUGACGGUACACUAUGAGGAAGCCCCGGCUAACUACGUG
rnacentral:rRNA from 1 species